rnacentral:rRNA from 1 species
GACGAACGCUGGCGGCGUGCUUAACACAUGCAAGUCGAACGGUGAAGCGCCUUCCUUUUUGGUGGGUGUGGAUGAGUGGCGAACGGGUGAGUAACACGUGAGUAACCUGCCCCCUUCUUCUGGAUAACCGCAUGAAAGUGUGGCUAAUACGGGAUAUUCUGGGUCUGUCGCAUGAUGGGUCUGGGAAAGAUAUUGUUUCGGUGGGGGAUGGGCUCGCGGCCUAUCAGCUUGUUGGUGGGGUGAUGGCCUACCAAGGCGGUGACGGGUAGCCGGCCUGGGAGGGUGGACGGUCACACUGGGACUGAGACACGGCCCAGACUCCGACGGGAGGCAGCAGGGGGGAAUAUUGCACAAUGGGCGCAAGCCUGAUGCAGCGACGCCGCGGGAGGGAUGGAGGCCUUCGGGUUGUGAACCUCUUUCGCCAGUGAAGCAGGCCUGCCUCGUUUGUGGGUGGGUUGACGGUAGCUGGAUAAGAAGCGCCGGCUAACUACGUG